AACUUGUAAUUUUUUUUUCAUUUUUUUAGGGGCUCAAGGAGCCCGUCGUUUGUAACGCCGCACUGUACCAUCGGCUUGUUUCUAUGAUUUUCCGAAACUAUGCAUCAAGUUAGUUUGCAAUUAGCUACGCUUUUUUUAUAUAAAUCAAAUGAACAAAAGGGCUAUAAAUAAAAAAUGAAUUUUUCAAUGCAUAAUUAUUUUGAGAGGAACCCAUAUAAAUAUUCUUCACCGAAUGGGUUGUCGAUCAUAUAUAUUAAAAAUAAAACAAAAGAGACACGCCCGAUGAUCCAUUUGGUCGAUGAUCGGUUUAGUCUAGGUGGCGUAAUUAGGCCACAGAAAAGCAACCAGAGGUCGGAUUUUUGCAAAAAAAUAAAUAAAUAACCAGAGGAACAGUAAUAAGGAGCAGCCGGUAAAAAGUAAAAUAAAAGGAGCAACAAGAUGUUACCCGUUGCACUUCGCUUUCUCGGUUUCUCCAGUGGUGUGCGGUCCUCUGUAGCACGGCGCCUCCUCUGCAGCACGCCGCUCUCCGACCACGACGAUGACCGGCGGCCCCCCUCCCCCCAACCCACACCACCACCAGAACCACCACGGCCUCGCCCCGUCUCGUCCUAUCCCCACCACAGCCUCGCCCCGCCGACCCUUUUCCCCACGACGACCUCUCCCCGGCGGCCCUUAUCCCCCACAAGCACAACGACCUCUCCCCGCUGCCUCCUGUCACACCGCGGCCUUGCCUCGCCGCCAACCCCGCGGAUCUUCCCUAGAUCGGCUCUGCCGCCGCCAUAGUACUGCCCCAGAGCAGAUCGAGAUGUGUGGGAGGAGGCAUCUCGAAUUGGACUGAGAUUCAGUCCGUUGAUGUGCCCGCCGUAAUCAUCGCCCCCCGUGCUUGGCUCACACAGUCGCUCCGGGAAGGAGUUCGCAGCUCGUGUACGUGCUCGGUUGCUGAAGCCCAAUGAAAUGUAUGGCCUUGAGCUCCAUUAUUUAGGCCUGAUCUCAUGAGAGGUGGUAUGUCUAUUGCAUUGGCAUACAAUAAGGUAAAGAAUUGCAUUGGCAUACCAAAUCUGUUGAUGAAAUGUGCUUCAGGAGUGCUAAGCAGUGAAAAAAAUAAACAUAAUAGCAUACCAAAUGUACCCUGUUAAGCAUAAAUGGUCUGAGUUAUAUUAGGAGGCGUGCCCAUCCGUCUGAAGACUGCUCUUAGUAUAUUCUUCUCUUUUCCAUGUUGUAACAUUUAGAUCAGUCCACUUAUCGGAUUUUAAUUCCAUGUGCUCGGAUGCAUAUUUGAAUAAAUCAACCAGUCCUUCUAGCUGUUGUACCAACAAAUGAAAAAAAUUAUGAGCAUGACAAGUGAGAAAUAAGAGAAAAAAUAGCUUCUUAUGAAAAGAUGGGGCAGUAGGACUAACUACUAACCGUAUUAGUGAGGUCCUUGCGGUUCAUUGAUGGGCCUAGCGAGUCGAGCACUUGAACACAUAGUUUUCUGGCAUUUAUAACACAUAGGUACCAGUGAACUUCGUCCAUGUUUAUUGGAAUGAAUAUCUGAAGAAAAUGAUUAUUUUAGUUGUACUCCUAUGUGGACGAAUCGGUCGUUCUCGCUGUAAUUCAUAGAAAUAUGUAGAAAAGUAAGACUAACCGUAUCAUUUUCCAUAUACUCUUUGGCUCUGUUUAAUACCCAUGCAGGUGUGGCAUCCGUGUUAUCUGAGGACGGAUAGCAACCGAUCUUUAUCAUGUUAGAGAUGCAUGCAUUCUCUAAGAACACACUUCCACCUGACCUUACUUGUAGAUGCUCCGUAGCCAAUCACGAUCUUCAUCGGCUAUAGAAAUUGAGUGACUGUAAGUUAGGAAAUCAAAGAUUGGAUAUGCAGUGUUUCAUGUAGCUGGCAUCACCUGUGUCGGAUUGUUUUUGUUCUCCAGUUGUAAGGACUACUGUAGAUUUGGCUCGAUGCCGUUUGUCAUGUAGGCUUUGUAAUAUACCUUGUUUAUAUUGCUCAUACCGGGCACUUUCCCUCUGCCUCUUGAGUGCUUGUUUUGCUUCUGUAUAAUAAGUGUUAAUUAGGUACACGACAACAUGAGCAACAAUGUUUUGUCAAUCAGAUGUACGGUGUAAGUGUAAAUUAUGUAUGAUAGUUAAUAUGAGCCACAACUGAGUACCAUAUUAACUGCUGCAUCUGUAGGCUUGAAGUGGCGGUCGUAACACAGUCGGUUGGGAGGACUCAAUGUCAGAGUCGAUACUAUGGACAUUUUCCUUGUUAGAACCGGCACUAUCUGAUGUUCUUAAUGAAUUUGGAGCAUGAAGUGGAGUCUGAUCACUCAUUAUCAUAUCAACAGGUCCUGAAAGGGAGUACGUGCCCCACUAUGCUCAGAGGAUGCCAUAUUGUCAACUCAGUUUGUCAUGCAGAUCAUGAUGUACUGUCAGAAAGUAGUCAUAUGUCCUCGAGAUGCCGCGGGCCACACGGGGUGAUAACACCGGAGGUAGGGCAGCACGCCGGGUGGAGAACGUCGCGGCCACCAGGGGCGACGGCGGUGUGGCGACGACGGCGGGGCGAGGAGAGGUUGGGCAGCAAGGCGGGUCGAGGAAGGACGUGCACCGGGGUGGAGGACAUCGCGGCCACCAGGGGCUAGGGUGGCGUGGCGACGGCGACGGGGCGAGGAGAGGUACGGCAGCAAGGCGGGUCGAGGAUGUCCACCGGGUAAGGACGUCGCAGACACCAGCGCUGAUCGCGGCGGUUCCUGGCGUGGUGGCGGCGUAGAUCGUGGAGGUGCUGUUUAUUUCCCAGGAGUUGUCAUCGUGGGGCUGUGUAGCAUCCUGAACGGGGGAGUCUGCCGGCAGAACAUUUGUUGUGAACUGUCGAUCUGAUUGUAGUAUGGUUGACGUAACGUGGACAGUUAGAUGGUACCAAGUGAGUCUGAUCGGACGUGGGGGGUUAUCCUGUGUGCACUUUCUGGUGUGGAUGUAGGGGAAGUCAUGUUUGGUCUUUUAAUAGUAGUGUAGAAGUGUAGAUGUAGAUUUGAAUAUCUUUUUUUUAAAUAUAUAUAUUUUUUGAAA